AAUAUUUGUUCAACAUUUAAGCAUCGACAUUAUCAUCAUUGUCGCAAGUUUGUUUGGCUUCGCAUCAGGAUUUUAUGGAGCGCACAAAUAUGAGACAGGAUCAAGAACGAGCAGAAUGUGGACAAGGCAAAGGGCAAGCCAAGAGAGCAAGCGAGAGGCUGAGGGAACGGGAACGGGAACGGGCACUAGAAUCUGCUCUGGAAAAAUAUUUUGUUCAUUAAUGUGGCACCCCGCCCCAAACGAGCCGUAGAUGGAAAGCGACUAGAGCAAGAGGGCACAAAAAAGAGGGAGAGAGAAGAAAACUUGUGCACGACUUGAGGCUGCGCUGGGAGUGCUAUGAAAAUUAGCUUGAGCUGAAAGGUAUAACCAAAGUAAAAAUAAAUAAGCAGCAAAAAAAAAAAAAUAUAAGAACAGAAGGGAAGCAGGAAAAAAAUAGGAAAAGAAAAAGAAAGCCGAAAAGUAAAAGCUUUGCCACUAGCCAGUUUAUUGUGUACAAACAUUUUGCGGCAGGACAACAGCG